GACGGAGGAUGCAAGCGUUAUCCGGAAUUAUUGGGCGUAAAGCGUCCGCAGGUGGCUGUUCAAGUCUGCUGUCAAGGCGCAGAGCUUAACUCUGUACAGGCGGUGGAAACUGAAGAGCUAGAGUAUGGUAGGGGUAGAGGGAAUUCCCGGUGUAGCGGUGAAAUGCGUAGAUAUCGGGAAGAACACCAGUGGCGAAAGCGCUCUACUGGGCCAUAACUGACACUGAGGGACGAAAGCUAGGGGAGCGAAAGGG
rnacentral:rRNA from 1 species